rnacentral:rRNA from 1 species
AUGUGUAUUUACCUCCCAAACGAAAGCAUAACAAUCCUCGCAAAAAAAAAAUAUGAAAGCAUAACACAGGCUACGUGCACGAUUCCAGUCGGUCCACGUAUCACGCCCCCGUGCACACAAAUGACAGCCGAAAACCGAGCGAACCAACAGCACUUCCCUCCACCACCACCACGAGACAUAGAUAACGCGCCAGCGACCAUGCCGCCGCCGCCGUCCGCCCUCACCGCCUCCGCCGCGGCGUCCUCCUUCCUCCGCUCGCUGCCCCCUCCCAACCUCUCCGCCCUCCGGCCUUCCCCAUCGCUCAAACGCUCAGCAGGCCACUCCCGCGUGGUCGCGCGGGCCUCUGCGUCCGGCGCCGCCGCCGAGGCCGAGACGGUGUUCUUCGAUGGCGGCGCGCACUACGGCGACCUGGCGGCGAACCUCGUCCUCGGGCUGACCCUGCUGUGGCUGCCGCUGACCCUCGCCUCCGUGUCCCGCGCGCUCCUCCUCCGGUACCGCUUCACCUCCCGCCGCGUGACCGUCAUCUCCGGGCUCUCCGGCGACGACCGCACGGACUUCCCCUACUCGUCGGUGAGGGAGGUGGUGGUCGUGCCGCGGUUCAUCGGCGAGUGGGGCGACAUCGUCAUCACGCUCAAGGACGGCACCAAGGUCGACCUCAGGAGCGUGCCCAGGUUCCGCGAGGUCGCCGACUACUGCCGCAAGAUGGCCGCCGCCGAGGGCGGGCUCGGGACCCGGUGA